GUUUUAAUAGUUUAUAAAAAAUAUUGGUCUUGUAAACCAAAGAAAAGAUCUCUUUUAAAACUC
rnacentral:tRNA from 1 species